rnacentral:rRNA from 1 species
GACAGCAGCAGCCGCGGUAAUACGAAGGGUGCAAGCGUUACUCGGAAUUACUGGGCGUAAAGCGUGCGUAGGUGGUGGUUUAAGUCCGUUGUGAAAGCCCUGGGCUCAACCUGGGAAUUGCAGUGGAUACUGGGUCACUAGAGUGUGGUAGAGGAUAGUGGAAUUUCCGGUGUAGCAGUGAAAUGCGUAGAGAUCGGAAGGAACAUCUGUGGCGAAGGCGACUAUCUGGGCCAACACUGACACUGAGGCACGAAAGCGUGGGGAGCAAACAGGAUUAGAUACCCCUGUAGUCCCUGUCUCUUAUAC